rnacentral:rRNA from 1 species
UACAGAGGUCUCAAGCGUUGUUCGGAUUCAUUGGGCGUAAAGGGUGCGUAGGUGGCGGGGUAAGUCAGGUGUGAAAUUUCGGAGCUUAACUCCGAAACUGCAUUUGAUACUGCCUUGCUUGAGGACUGGAGAGGAGACUGGAAUUCACGGUGUAGCAGUGAAAUGCGUAGAGAUCGUGAGGAACACCAGUGGCGAAGGCGGCUCACUGGACCGGCAUUGACGCUGAGGUGCGAAAGCGUGGGGAGCAAACAGG